AGUGAACGCUGGCGGCGUGCCUAAUACAUGCAAGUCGAACGGCGUGGCGCACGGGUGAGUAAUAUAUAGCUAAUCUGCCCCUUGCUGGAGGAAAACCGUUAGAAAUGACUGCUAAUACUCCAUAGCAAGUGAUUAGACUAUAUCGUAUCAGCUAGUCGGUGGGGUAACGGCCUACCGAGGCUAUGACGCGUAACUGGUCUGAGAGGAUGAUCAGUCACAUUGGAACUGAGACACGUUCCAAACCCCUACGGGAGGCAGCAGUAGGGAAUAUUGCGCAAUGGGGGAAACCCUGACGCAGCAACGCCGCGUGGAGGAUGACGGCCUUCGGGUUGUAAAGCUCUGUUAAUCGGGACGCGGUACCGGAAUAGAAAGCCACGGCUAACUACGUGCCAGCAGCCGCGGUAAUUC
rnacentral:rRNA from 1 species